CACCGGCGGCUCGAGUGGUAACCGCUGUUAUUGGGUCUAAAGGGUCUGUAGCCUGCCGGCUAAGUCUCUUGGGAAAUCUGGCAUCUCAAGUGUCAGGCUGCCAGGGGAUACUGGUCGGCUUGGGACCGGGAGAGGUGAGAGGUACCUCAGGGGUAGGGGUGAAAUCUUGUAAUCCUUGAGGGACCACCAGUGGCGAAGGCGUCUCACCAGAACGGAUCCGACGGCAAGGGACGAAAGCUAGGGGCACGAACCGGAUUAGAAACCCUAGUAGUCC
rnacentral:rRNA from 1 species